GUAAACUGCACAAUAGGCUUAGUUCAGUGCGGAAUCAUAAUUCAGCGAAGCGCUGUGCUUUUAUUUUCCAGCCUCACGGUACUGUGAAGAAUGCAGUAAUGGCCACUCAGUGAGAGAGACCCAACGAUGAGUAACAUCAAGGCGUAUUUACAUGUCGUGUACGCCGCUUUCGGUGACGCCUCCAUUUUGGAAUUUCAAUCAGGCAACAAGCGUCGAUUUUAUUUGGUGGAUGGGGGCCCAAUCCGGUAUACUGGUGCAGGGGGAACAGAAGACAACAGAGCCAAGAAACUGACCAAGCUACAAUUAACUCACCCCUACUAUCAAUACGUUCUUUACACUCUGACGAGUUUGGCAAAGAUUCCAAACAGUACAGGU